rnacentral:pre_miRNA from 1 species
AAUAAGAUCAUUUUUUGUUUUUCCGUGUCCAACGUUUGACCAUUCGUCUUAUUUGAAAAAUUUGUAUAAAAACUUAAAAAAAAUCACGUAUAAAGUAUUAUUCAUGUUUUAUCAUCUAGUAAGAAUAAAAAUAUUAAUCGUAAAAUUUUUUUAAAUAAGACGAAUGGUCAAACAUUAGAAAAAAAACGAAAAAUGAUCUUAUU